rnacentral:rRNA from 1 species
GACGAACGCUGGCGGCGUGCUUAAUACAUGCAAGUCAGGGGACGGUUUUCUGGUUCUCGCACCGGAUAAUCUUAGCGGCGAACGGGUGAGUAACAGGUUAAGAACCUUCCCCGUCUCCUGGGACAACUAUUGGCAACGACUGCUAACACCUGAUAACUUCAUUAGCAUGAUUGAAGAUGUUUAAAAGGUGUUUUUGCUAACACUAUGAGAUUCCUUCGCGGUGCAUUAGCUAGUUGGUGAGGUAACGGCCUACCAAGGCGACGAUGCAUAGCCGACCUGAGAGGGUGAUCGGCCACACUGGAACUGAGACACGGCCCAGACUCCUACGGGAGGCAGCAGUAGGGAAUCUUCCGCAAUGGGCGAAAGCCUGACGGAGCAACGCCGCGUGAGUGAAGAAGGAUUUCGGAUCGUAAAGCUCUGUUGUUAGGGAAGAAUGAAUGUGUAGUAAACAGAGACCGUCGUGACGGUACCUAAUCAGAAAGCCACGGCUAACUACGUG